ACGGAAGGCAGCAGUGGGGAAUAUUGCACAAUGGGCGAAAGCCUGAUGCAGCGACGCCGCGUGAGUGAAGAAGUAUCUCGGUAUGUAAAGCUCUAUCAGCAGGGAAGAAAAUGACGGUACCUGACUAAGAAGCCCCGGCUAACUAUGUGCCAGCAGCCGCGGUAAUACGUAGGGGGCAAGCGUUAUCCGGAUUUACUGGGUGUAAAGGGAGCGUAGACGGUUUGGCAAGUCUGAAGUGAAAUGCGGGGGCUCAACUCCUGAACUGCUUUGGAAACUGUCGAACUAGAGUGCAGGAGAGGUAAGUGGAAUUCCUAGUGUAGCGGUGAAAUGCGUAGAUAUUAGGAGGAACACCAGUGGCGAAGGCGGCUUACUGGACUGUAACUGACGUUGAGGCUCGAAAGCGUGGGGAGCAAACAGGAUUAGAUACCCUGGUA
rnacentral:rRNA from 1 species